rnacentral:rRNA from 1 species
GAUGAACGCUGGCGGCGUGCCUAAUACAUGCAAGUCGAGCGAACAGACGAGGAGCUUGCUCCUCUGACGUUAGCGGCGGACGGGUGAGUAACACGUGGAUAACCUACCUAUAAGACUGGGAUAACUUCGGGAAACCGGAGCUAAUACCGGAUAAUAUAUUGAACCGCAUGGUUCAAUAGUGAAAGACGGUUUUGCUGUCACUUAUAGAUGGAUCCGCGCCGCAUUAGCUAGUUGGUAAGGUAACGGCUUACCAAGGCAACGAUGCGUGGCCGACCUGAGAGGGUGAUCGGCCACACUGGAACUGAGACACGGUCCAGACUCCUACGGGAGGCAGCAGUAGGGAAUCUUCCGCAAUGGGCGAAAGCUUGACGGAGCAACGCCGCGUGAGUGAUGAAGGUCUUCGGAUCGUAAAACUCUGUUAUUAGGGAAGAACAAAUGUGUAAGUAACUAUGCACGUCUUGACGGUACCUAAUCAGAAAGCCACGACUAACUACGUG